rnacentral:rRNA from 1 species
UACGGGGGGGGCAAGCGUUGUCCGGAAUUAUUGGGCGUAAAGAGCUCGUAGGCGGCUUGUCGCGUCGGCUGUGAAAACUCGGGGCUCAACCCCGAGCCUGCAGUCGAUACGGGCAGGCUGGAGUCCGGCAGGGGAGACUGGAAUUCCUGGUGUAGCGGUGAAAUGCGCAGAUAUCAGGAGGAACACCGGUGGCGAAGGCGGGUCUCUGGGCCGGAACUGACGCUAAGGAGCGAAAGCGUGGGGAGCGAACAGG